rnacentral:rRNA from 1 species
UACGGAGGGAGCUAGCGUUGUUCGGAAUUACUGGGCGUAAAGCGCACGUAGGCGGCUUUGUAAGUUAGAGGUGAAAGCCCGGGGCUCAACUCCGGAACUGCCUUUAAGACUGCAUCGCUAGAAUCCAGGAGAGGUGAGUGGAAUUCCGAGUGUAGAGGUGAAAUUCGUAGAUAUUCGGAAGAACACCAGUGGCGAAGGCGGCUCACUGGACUGGUAUUGACGCUGAGGUGCGAAAGCGUGGGGAGCAAACAGG